rnacentral:lncRNA from 1 species
AGAAGACCACUGUUAACCAUAUGCAAUCAUUCUUGUCUCUUUAUUGUGUACUUUGUGCAUUUUUAUACAAAUUAAGUUCAUACAAAACAUACUACUUGUAUCAUUUGUCUAACAUAGCAAUAUAUUACUAUCAUCUUUCUAUCAUUCAAUGUUCCUAAAUGAAAUCAUUUAUAAGGAAUGUAGAAUAUUGUUUUCAAAUGACUAAGAUGAAGAGAGUGAACGAAUUAAUGUAUUGAGGACCCUAAAAGUUAGAUAUUAUAAUGCCCAUUUUAAAGAUGUGAAAAUGAAGGUAAGUGAGCAGCCAGUUAACUGUAGAACAGAGAUGCCCACCAGGUCUGCGUGGUUUCAGGCCUAAACUCCUUCUCCCUUACCCGUGUUUCCUCCGCAUGCCUUGUCAUAAGACUCACCUUGGAAAUCUGCAUUAUCAACAUGUAAUACAUUUUAUUAUAAACUGAAUUCCAAUUGAGAACCUACAAAAAGCUACCUGAGGUCAGAUCAUGAUUCAGAAGAAACAAGUUAACAAGAUUGUGCCUCUGAUGGAGCCCAGACAUGGUCAGAUAUGGUUUCUCACAACCUUACAUGUCAAGAGGAAAGAAUUCCAGACUAGAUGUCAGGAGAUCCGGGUUGUAUUCUCACCUCCUCCAGUCACCAGCCAAAAAGUCAUGGCCACAUCAUUCAAUUUAUCUGGGCCUCAGUUUUCUAAUCUAUAUAUUGGGAUAACACAACCUUCCCUGUCAAGCUGAAUAGAUUCUAAAUAGCAAAGGAAAUAAUGAAGCAAUAUACAAACAUAAGAGACCUUUAUGAAUCCUACUACAGAUCCAUCAGCGGUGAAUUUUCCAGCCCUCUAAAACACAUCAAAGAAUUGUAAACAGAGAAGGAAACUCUGAGCCCAACUAAUUUUAGAGACAGAGAGACUGACUUCCUGAGAAGGUAGGCAGCUUGCCCAAAGAUUCAGAGUGAGUUAGGAACCCAGCUAACACUAGAAGCCAGUGUCUGGAUUCACACAGGAAUAUUCCUUUUAUAAGACCACCUUUACGGUGAUAAAUGUCCCAGACGCGUUCACAUAAACACGUUGACAGCAAUUCAGUUUAGUUCCGUUUAUUUCAGUUAAGUAAAGAUAAGCUGAGCAUUUGUUUGCCAUGUACAAUGACCUCUUCAGUCAAGGAAUUCCAGCUCUUGUUUUUGUCUUAACUUCUUUCAACUUUGAGGGUUUCUUUGCAUGUUCCUUACCUAACAAGACCAGCCUGAAAAGAGUAGAAAAAAACAUAAAGAAACUUGGAGUCUGAAUUUUCCACAUGCUGGGAGCUCUCACACCCAAUUCCAGAUACAGCACUCUCCUGAAUGUGACCUGAAGUGGUUUCCUCAAUUGAUCACAUCCCAGGAAUCUGGAGAGCUUCCAGGGCAGGGAAAAUUAGUUACAGAGUCACAGAGUGGUGCGGCCUGUCACAUGAAAGUCACUUCCAGCUUGGAACGGAUUGCACAUUCCUGCCUUCUGAGUGGUGUUUCAGAUGACUGGGAUCUGGCCUGUCUGCAGACAGGCCCCAAAGCAGCAGAAGGAAGCCAGCGGGCAGGGGCAUUCCAACACCGUUCCCGAGACCCGCAGUCACAGGAAAGGAGAACUUCCUGAGGCUCCUCCAAGCCUUGCCUCAACUUAAUGGUGUUUGAGAAAAACAUCAAGUUUCCAUUUACCUCCAUUUUGAAACACUGAAAGCAUUUGUCAUUAAAUAGCAUGAUGACUCUCCUGCCUCAACUCAGAGCUUUGUCAAACUGCUCACAUGGCAUAAACAAGGAUGAUGGGGUUUCCUACACAUAUAUCAGAACUUCUAAAUGCUUCUUAUAUGCCAAGUACCAUUAUAUACCAUGCCUUGGCUCAUCUAAUCCUUACAGACAACCUCAGGAGAGAGGUGCUCUAUAUCACUACCACAGCCAAGGAACCUGGGGCUCAGGAUGGUUAAGUAACUUGUACAAGGUCAAAAAUUGGCAAAUGACAAUGCACGAACUUAACACAGAUCUGUCUGACUCCAAAUCCCAGGUCUACACUGGCUGGAUAAAUAUGAGGCAGAGGCCACAUGUAGUAGCUCACGCCUGUAAUCCCAGCACCUUGGAAGGCCGAGGCGAGUGGCUAACCUGAGGUCAGGAGUUCAAGACUAGCUUGGCCAACAUGGUGAAACCCCGUCUCUACUAAAAAUACAAAAACUAGCUGAACGUGGUGGUGCAUGCCUGUAAUCCCAGCUACUUGGGAGACUGAGACAGGAGAAUUGCUUGAACCCGGGAGGCGGAGGUUGCAGUGAGCCAAGAUCGCACCAUUGCACUCCAGCCUGGGCGACAAAAGCGAAACUCCAUCUCAGUAAAAAAAUAGGUAUAUAUGAGGCAGAAUGACUUUCAAAUAAUACACAAUGGUUUCAGAAUCUGGCCUCUGUUUUGUUGAUUGCAAGGCCCUGUCAUAUUUCCAAGUCACCUAUUGCUGGGUUUCACAGCUUUAAUGGUUUGAAAAGUCUUCCUUAUGUCAAAAUGUUUCAACAGGCUUCGUUCCCGCCCUCUGCACCCCACAGUCCUCUUCCUUCCCAAACUCUCCUCUGAGAAGUCUGUCUCAUCCCCCAUUCCCAUGAAAUACAUCUGCUGACAUCACAAAGGGAUUCUUGUCUAACUUCCAUCUCUCUAAUUGAAGUUUAAGCAAAAUGUUUCUUGACCUAAUCCAAGUAAAAGAGCAUGAUUGUCCUCUAUUUCAUGUUAUUCUCACAGUUACAAUAUGUGCUUACAUCUGCUGGUGCAAAAUAUGAUUAACUUUUUUUUUCUAAAACCCUAGGGCUAGGAGGAGCUUGGAAAUUCUAUCUUUUACUUCCCCUUGCCUUCAGACCGAUCCCUGUAUGUCAACAAAACAUGAAAACACCCUGUGAAAUCCAUUAGUAGCCUCACUUUAUAUACUAGGAAAUCGAGGCAGGGUGAUGGAUCUGAAGUCCCUCAAGCAGAUUGUGGCUAGAGCAAGAAGGGAAGCAUGGACCUGGGUCUCUCAGAGGAAUCCCUGUCUUCCCAUACAGCCUUUUUCCAUAGCAUCUAUGCACUAACUAUAAGCUAUCGACCCUAUAAAGGUCCACGGACAUAUGAGAACAUUAUCUUCUUCCAGGCAUUCAGUUUCAUUUAUCCGACAUUUCCUGCACUAUCCUAAAGAUAUAGAGGCAGGUAGAUUAAUUCACUAUGCCCUAGAAGUCCUGGUCAAGGUCUCAGAAUCAAGAACUACCUCUCUAACAGACAGGCAUUGAGCACCCUCUGUAGGCAAGGCAGAGUCUUGCAAGCUGGCACCAAUGAUUGUCCUGCAUCUGCCUGGUCCACAUACUCCCUGGACGUCUGUGUGACAGGCUCUGUAGAAGACAAGCAUAAAGCAGACCUGAGGGUGAGUCCCAGCCCAGCUCUGCCACUCACCAGCGGUGUGGCCAUGGGCAGGUUACCUCCAUGGACUAGACCUGGGCUUUCUCAUCUUUAAGUUGGUGUUAAUAACAAGUUGGGGUUAAAUGCUGUCCCUCACUCAAUACCUGUGUCCACAUCUUAAUCCUUAGGACCUCUGAACGUGACCAUAUUUGAUAAAAAGGUCUUGGCAGAUGUAAUUAUGUAAAGGUUCUUGAGAUGAGAUCAUCCUAUAUUAUCUAGGUUGUCUCUAAAUCCAGUGACAAAUGUCCUUAUGACCGCAGAAAGACAGACACCAGGAGAAGAAGAAAAGUCCACGCAAAGAAAGAUGAAGGUAGAGGUAGGAGUUAUCCAGCCACAAGCCACAGAAUGCCUGGAACCUCCCUAAGCUGAAAGAGGCUAAGACAAAGUCCCCUCUAGAGCCAUCAGAGUGAGUGUGGCCCUGCCAGCACCUUGAGUUUGUACUCUGGCCUCCAGGACUCUAAGCAAAAAAAUUUCUGGGGGAUUUUUUAAGCCAUGAAGCUUUGUGGUCAUUUGUUAAAACAGCCCUAGGAAACUAGUAUCCACCUAUUUCAUGGUAUGUUAAGCAUGGAACCUAUUCCAGAGUAAGUACUUCAUCAUAUUAUUGGUGUUAUUCUUGCCCUUGCCAUGCUCCAAGUUAACUUAAGACCCCUUUUAUUCUGACGAUACCUCCUGGAGACCACCCACCCAUCCAAAGCUCCAGAAUCAAGGUUUUAGUAUUUUGAUUUGGGGUUGCCUAUUUGUUAGGAGGAGGGGCUGCACAUACCUAUUUCCUAUUUUUCAAAAUAAUAGCCCCAAAUUUUGAUUCAAGUGAAGCUGGAUAGACCCUGAAGGGUGUAUUUGUUAAAAAUUUCACAGCUCAUUCUGACACAAAACUGGUACUGAUAUUCAACCAAUGCACACUGACCAGCAUCCUCUCUGAUUUGUCUGGGACUUGGUCCUUUGGUGAAAUAUUUGCCCUCUCUCCGCACACCAGCACUGCUCUCCCAUCACCACUGACCUGGGGAAAAUCAGCCAAGCUGACUGGUAGGCCCAGAACACAAAGCUGGGGACAAAGCUAGUCCAGAGGGCUUAAAAUGUGUUGGGGAAGCCAGGUUUGCAUGAACAUGUCCCGGGGAACAGAACAGGCAUGGCAGCAUGGAAUGACAGGAAGGACCUGGGCACAGGCCCCUGGUGGCCCAAACUCCUCCAUACAGGACUGUUCUUUUUAUCUGUUGUAUCAACUGGGAAUAUGCAUACAAUUCUUUUUGGAAAAAAAAGUUCUAAAGCAUUCUGAUGAUUUUUUAAAUAAUUAAAAAUUUAAAACCACUGAUAAGACAUACUUAUUUUCUAGGCAAGAAACUGGGUUCCAAAGAGAUUAAGUGACAUGCCCAGGAUCACACAGUGAGGAACUGAUGGCCAAGACCAGAAUCUUGAACUCUGGGUCUUAUCCAGGGCCCGUCAACUCCACCAGUAGCAGCCUCAGCCACCAGCCCCACCACUGAGGCCUCAAAGCACUGAUUUCUCAGGCUCCAGUGCCUCUCUCUAGGUGCAGUAGCCCCCACAUCCCUCAGAAGGUCCAUGCCUGGCAGGGAAGAGGAUGCCUGGGCAAUGCUGUCAGCCUCUCCUUUGGGAAUGGCCUUGGUCUCGGUCUGCACCAAGGCAGCCCAGUUUCUAGGCCAUUGCUGCCAGAGGCGGUGUCGUUGCUUGGGAAAUCUUCCUGCUGAUCAGAACUUCCUCUCCACUGUACCUUUUUCCCUCCUUAGAGCCAACAUCCAGGCCUUAUCUCAGAUGAGGAAAUGUUUAGGGCACAGGACCGUUGAGAUAUUUCUCAGAACACAAAUUACGAGGCACAUGUUUUCACAGAGAAGAAAAUAAGGAGAAGACACACAGUGAUCACCAUGCUGGUUCUGAGAACAAGCCCUUAUCUGCUCUGACCCAGCUCUGGACUCACAGGCUGGUGUCAGCCUCACAACUGGUCAAUGAGGCAGCCAGGAAAAGUCCAAAGCUUUAGGUGGGGGAGUCCAUCGCCCAAAGGCAAAGGUGCAAAAAAUAAACACUUAAGAGAGAGCUGCAGCCUCAAAGCCCUGGGCUGUACCAGGCCGACAUACCACAGCAAAAAGCCUAUGAAGUCCUACAAAAUGUAAGCACCUCACCAAGCUGCUAGCAUGGAGGGAUUGCACAUUAAAACUCUGGUCACGUUACAAAUGUCUGUGCAGGGUCUUCCCGCCAGGAAACCCCAAUGCAGUGAGGAGGAUACUAUGCAUGUUUAAAAAACUAAGCAGUCAUAAGAUUACAGUAAUCAUUCCAAGCAGGACAAAAAGAAAGAAAAGAUGAGGUGAUACAAAGUACUACAUGGUCAAUGAAUGACCAGAUAAAUGAUGGAAUCAAUAAUUACUAGAAGAGUUCAGAGGGAAAAGUUCAGGUAGGAAGGACUAGCUUGGCUUAAUAAUAUCUAUCAUUCAUUAAAUACCUACUAUCUGCCAGAAUUUGAGAAUUUUUCUUUCAAUGACUUCACAAGGUCUGUGUUAAGUAUCUGCACUUCACCAAGGGGAAGGCUGAAAUGUGGAGAAGCCAGGUGACCUCCCACAGUAACUCAGCUGUAGGAACCAGGGUGAGUUCUGUCUCGUUCUCCUGAACAAUUACCUGAGUUUCCUUAGCCAUAGAGGUCCUGAGAAAUUGCUUGAGUUUCCUUAGCAAUAGAGGACAAGGAGAGCUUGGAUAAAGCCAAAAGGAAAGAGAGGGAUCAUUGCAGGCAGGUGAAAGGAGCAGCUGAAAUCACAGAGGCAGGAAAGUCAAAAGCACAUGUGCGGCUGUUAACAGAGAUGAAUUUAGCUAGGGUGGAGGUUUCUGGAAUGGAUAGAACUUAUUGAGUACUUACUGUGCUAAGCAAAGUUCUAAGAACUUUAUAUAGAUAAUCUCAUUUAACCCUCACAAUAACCCUGUGAGGUAUGGAGUAUUAUUAUUCCCAAAGUAUGGAUAAGGAAGUCAAAGCAUAGAGAGGUUAAGUAACUUGCCCAAGAUCACAUAGCUGAUAGGCAGCAGAGGUAAGACUUGAACAUAGUCAGGAUUGAAAGUCCAUGCCCUUAAUCACUACAAUGUACUUGAAGGAGUUUGUCAUAGAAAGCUGGAAAAGCUGGAUUCCCUGAGGGGUUGCCUUGAAUGCCAAGUGUUUGCACUUAAUCUUUCUGCAGAAAAAAAAAGGAAUUAUAACGAAAUACCUGUUUCUAUAUAAACAAAGCAAAGCAAGGGCAGAGAAGCUCUCAAGACAAAGUCCAGCCAAAUAAAGGGCUGCAGCCUCCUCACCCCUUGGGGUUCUCUGCAUGUUUCACUUCCACGGCAAUCAUGUGAUCAAAGCAGAAACGUUCUUUUAGUUGUGGUGAGAAAGGUGGACUGGAAGAAGGGAAGAACAGUCGGACGCUAGCGCCAGAGGCAAAGCAGGAAGUGACGAAGGCAUGCAGUACGUGGGAGCUGCAGGAAGGCUGGAACAGUGGAGGUGGAUGGUAGAGCAAUGGAGAAGGAAGGGUCAAAAGGCUUUGAUGAACCAUUAGAGAAAAGUAGUCGUUACUGGUUGUGGCUUAGGUUAACCUACCAUGAACCCAUUUUCUGACCCAAGAACUGGGCUGACAGGUCCCCAUAAGAGUGAGGCAGAAUGUCUGAAGCUAUCUCUGCUCCAGAAAGCCAAGGACAGUCUGUCUUUGUGUUUGUGCCUGUCACCUUCUGCAUGCUUCUGGGAAAGGAGUUCCUUUGACCAAGGAGCCCUCCUGGGGAAGGCCUGUCCAGAGACUUAGAACCAGAAGAAAGACAGGACACUAGGAGAGGCACAGAUCCUCCCAGAGAUCAGCCUUAAGAGCCCCCCCAGACUCUCCUAUGUAGAAAUCUACAUGGGAUUCCCCUGGCAUUUAUGGAGGGCACUUCCUAUUUUAACGAGAUUUCAUAUGUAUUACCAUCCUUGAUUCCAUUCACCCCUUCCAAGAAAAAACAGAGCCAUGGGAGUGUGGGACAAAGAAUGAGCAUUUGUUAGAGGCUGACUCUCUUCCAGGUAGCAUGCUCUGUACUCUCCUGCAGCUGUUUUAGAUCAUCCUCACACUCCGUGGGACAAGCUUUUACUCCCCCCACAUUAAAAAUGAGGACUUGAGCUCCAGUGUGAUGAAAUGACUUCUCAUGAUCAUACAACCAAGAAGGAAUAGGCUAGAGAUGGACACUGCCUUUGCCUUUUCCCUGGGACAGGAAGGCAGACCUAACCUCACCAUCUCACAGGUAAGGAAAUAUUCAAGGCCCCAAAACACCAUGGAGAUCAAUACCAGAGCGAGACUAAAAUCCAGAGCUCACAGUUUCUAGUCCUGUGUUCAUUUUGCGUUUCAUUAUGUUAUUUGAGCACAUUUGUGUUUUGGCAAGUUCAGCUCCUUAAGGAAAGGGUCCAGGUCUUUACAACUUGACAUCCCCACAGUGGCCAACACCAUGGAUGGCCUCUGAAGACAUGAAGCAUGUAUCGCUGAUUUGUGGAAUGAACCAACUGCUAUAACUCAUCUCUUUGGUGCCAACGUCUCACUUCUUCAAUUCAUUCUUCAUGCCACUUCUAAAAGUACGGUGCUAAAGCGUUUCUCCUCUUAUUCAACAAAUGCAAUCCUUUUCCACCUUAAGACUCAGCUCCAGAGCCAUCCUCCCUAUGAAGCCUUCUUCAAUCUCACCGUGAUAAUGCCCUGUCUCUGCCUCUCCCACGCUGCUUGACUAGUCCCUCUGCUAUACAUUCAUGGGCGGCUCCUCCAUGACAUCAUCCAUUCCUUGAGGAACUGUCAGUCAUCUCUGUACUCUGAAUAAACAUUGAUGAGCAAACACAUAAAGGAAUGCAUGAAUGGGUGGAUGGACUCGUUAAUAAAUAAAGACAUAGAGAAAUGACAAGAUGGAGAGGUGAAAUAUUGGGACUUAGUAGUUAAAAGCAGUGGACUUUAUGUCAGAGCAUCCAACCCUACACAGAGCUUUACUCCUGACUUGCUGUGGGAUCUAGAUAAAGUCACCUCCCCUCUCUUGGCCUCUUUUUGCUUGUGUUUUAAAAGAAAGAGUUAGAGUAGAAUUGCUGCAACUCCCCAUUCUCUAAUUCUGUGAAUGAAAAGUUCAUCCUUGGACAAACCCCAUUAACGGAUGUUUUGUAUCUCCUCCCUUGAAAACAACAAUUGUCCCUCGACUAGCAUCUUAUCUGAAGCAAACCUUCUCUGCCUCAUCCCCACCAGAAGCUUUGCUAUCUCUUAAGGGACCUCCUCAGGGUGUUUGUGAACAAAAGCGAGUGUCUUAUCUGGUCACUCUCUCCUGCACUAUCCUGCCCUUGGAAAACAUGAAUGGAUUUGCCGAAAACAUAGCCUCUGAUAGUCUUUCCACCCCAGGAAUGGCUAGAAAGGCAGCCUCGGCUUUCUUGGAAAGACUGUGUAAUUUCAUGCUACUAUCAGGGCUGACAAGGAGGCAACCCCUAGCCCUGGACCCUUCAGCUAAGUUCAACUCCAGGUCAAGUCAGGGGCCCCCAGCAGCUCAGGGGCACAGGAUCCACAAGGAAGAAAUUCCAGGAUGUUGCCAGAAGCUAACAACAGUUCCCAGCUGUUCCCAGUCGCCUCUUGCCAUUGAAGUAGUUUGGAGUGGGGGUCUUCACACAGACACAGCAGAAGGAAGGUCAAAUGAAUGACUGUGCCUCUGGGCCAGGGUGGAGGACAGGCCAGUGAGAACAGAAGCCUCUUUGUUAUUGGCAGCUCCUGCACAUGGCCCCCUAGACCCUUGACGGAGACCUCCCUCUCCCCCCAGAUCUUGGGGACCUUGACAUCGGUGGUAUUUAUGCAGCUCUCCUCAUGUCAUCGUGGUAAAACUGCUGCUUGCGGCUUGCCUACGGCCUGGAGCCUCGCUCUGCAAUUCCUUUUGGAGCACAUGCUGUGAAACUCUCUUAUUAAAAGGUAGUUCCAGAACUGAUCUCCCUUGAGUGGAACAAAAACAACAUCUAUCUUAGAAUUGAUUUUGUGCGGAAUGCCUGCUCCCGCCUCCCCACACCUCCCCACCCACCCCCAUUCCCCCAACCCCACUCUUUGUCUGGCAAGCUCCUGCUCAUCAUUCAGGUCCCAGUUUUGAUGUCCCCACUCAGAAAUGCCUCCCCUGCCCACCUUUCACAAACCAAAUUAUGCCCCUCCUCUUAACACAUUCAUCCAUUUUGCCUGGUUUUUUUUCCUUCCUAGAACUCACUACAGCUUGUACUUGUGCAUGUGUGUGUCUGUGCAGUGAUUAUGUCUGCAACUAGUACUUCAAUCUCCUGAUGGUAGAAGCUAUGUUUGUUUUUUCAUCACCAAGAACCCGCACACCGGCCUAGUACACUGCAAAUGAUCAACAAAUAGUUGUUUUUUUUAAAAAAUGAAUAGAUACAUGAAUGAAUGAAUGAAUGAAUGAAUGAUUUAAUAUAGAAGAGUAUUAUCUUCAGAAUCCUAGAAGAGAUAUUUUACAUUUAUUAAGAGUUAUGAAGCCCUUAAUACAUGGUAUCUUAACUGUUUCUUUAUUUUUAUGUAAAAAAUAUAUAUAAAUGAAGAUGAAGAAGAUACUUGGUCCCCAAGGAGUUCACAGGCUACUAGGGGGGCCGGACAUGUAAUUUGUCAAUUCCAAAUGCUGUGUUCUCAUACAUCCUCACCUGUGGGGUAAGCAUUAUGAUUUGCAUUUGACAAGGAAACAUUAAGAUGCUCAGAAACAUUAAGUUUUUUGCUCAAACCACAGAGCUAGUGAGUGCCAGACCUAGAAGCCAGGUCUCCUGAAUCCUGGGACAAAAGGUGUUCCACCAGCUGUCCUCCUGCCUUCUGGACUUGGCCUGCUUUUCAAUUCUUGCAUUUGAAAGCAGACAGGUCCAGAAUUCUGGGAAAACACACUAUUCACCAGGAGUGACUCUGGCAGGACCAGGAGGUGGUCUUGCUUCAGGAGUCUGACACCCUUCUCCCUGUUCCAAGCUAGGUACUAACUCAUUCUGAGAGGGAAGCUUGGGCGACAGCUGUGAAUGCCCAUUCUCACCCCCACUGAGCUGGUUUUCACAUCUUUCCUGGGUCAAGGGAUUUUAGAGGGCUUGUGCUGAAGAGGUUUCCUUUGAAUGUCAGCAACCAUCUGAGGGGAGAAUGUUGGCCAUUAGCCAAUGACUCCAGGUCUACUCUACUUGGUUAUGUCAACACUCCAAAGAGAAGAUAAGUUCUGGAUGGAUGCAGUGGCUCACGCUUAUAAUUCCAGCACUUUGGGAGGCUGAGGUGGGUGUGGGUGUUCAAGACCAGCCUGGGCAACAUGACAAAACCCUGUCUCUACAAAACACACACACACAAAAAUUAGCUGGGCACAGUGGUACAUGCCUGUAGUCCCAGCUACUGGGGAGGCUGAGAUGGGAGGAUCACUUGAGCCAGGGAGGCAGAGGUUGCAGUGAACAGAGAUCACACUACUGCACUCCAGCCUGGGUGAUAGAGUAAGAUCCUGUCUCAGAAAAAAAAAAAAAAUGUUCUGACUUAGAAACUGCUCCCCCAAGAGCCAACUUGAUGAGCACCUAUGAACAAGUUUUCUAUACUGCAAAGCACAAACCUUUGAACUCACAAAACCAUGUUAUUUGGGGCAAGUUACUCAAAUUCUUUGAACCUUACCUUCCUAAUCUGAAAAAUAAAUUCUUAUGAUACUUGUGAAGAUUGAAUUUGAUGAAUCAUAUACCACCUUGUAUCAUGUGAUAGCUCUCACCAUCAUCCUCUGGUUUUUUAACCUUCAUUUUCCUUCUCUAUUUCUUACUCCAUCUUUCUCUUGGUCCUUAUCUCAUUCUGUUAUUUUUUGGACAUUUCUCAUAUUGUGAAGGUCCUUUAGGUUCAGAUCAUCUCCUCUGGAGAGUAACUUCCCACCUCCCUGUGGUCAGCAUGCAGGAGAGUCCAAAAUAAAGCACAAUUAGAAUUUCCUGGAAGAGUUGAGAACAGGGAAUUUUUAACUCAUUCUUGACAAUAGAGUGGAAGGUUUCUGGUUUGAGGAACAUGCAAGGGCUCUCUGAGCAUAGUGUUGGGGUGCCCCAUUUACGUAGUGGAUCUUGAGAGAGGAGUUGGGCCAUGGAGCUGGGCAGAGGAAGAUGAGACUCACAAAGUUUCACAGGGCCAUCAUGGAAGCUCUAGCUAGCACCUGGAACGCCCUCCCAUGGCUAUGGAAGGAGUUUAAGCACAAGAGUGUAAUAUCACAUCUGUGUUUGAUGAAGAUGAAUCCCAUGCUGGCCAUGGGAAGGAUGGAUAGGAGACAAGAGAAGCUAGAGACAAAGACACCAAUUAGGAGGUUUUUAAAGUGAACGCUCACAACCAUGGCAAGGCAGAGAGCCCAGACUAAGGCAAAAGACAAUGAGGAUAGACAUAUGGCAAUGGAUCAAGAGUCACACCUAAAACACCAACACCACACACGGGACUUGGCAAUUGAUUUAUGCAGGAGGCAAUAGAAAGAGCAUAAAAAUGCUCCUGAGGUUUCCAGCUCGGGAGGUGAGGUUUCCAGUGUCCCUGUUAAGAGAGAUUUGGAAUGCCAGAGACACACCCACAACAGGAAGAAACAAUGAAUUUAGUUGGUGACAUGUAGUGUUUGAGUUAUUUAUGGGACAUCCCGGUGAUGUCCAAAAGGUGUGCAGCAAGUGGAUCUGGAGUGGAACCGAGACAUCUGGAUUGGAGAUAUAGUUUGGGGGCCAUUUGGCAUGAAGGUAAUAAGAUAAUAUAUGAGUGAAUAAGAACACCAUUAGGAUAGAGUCCCUACUUUAAAAAAUAAAAGUAAAAAAGCUGAAACACUGGCAUUUAGAGAAAGACAAGCCAGCCAAGGAAAGCAGGAAGGAAUGGACAGAGAGAGGGGAGAAGAAGUAGGAAAGACUGAGAGGGCCGGGUGAGGGUAAAAGGAGGAGAGAAAGCAGCCAUAUGGCAGUUAUGCAAAUUCAUAUGUUGAAAUUCAUAGAACUGUACACCAAAAUAAGUCAAAUUUUUGUACAAUAGUUUUAAAAAAUAAAAUUAAUAAAAUACCAAAAGAAGUUCUUUAUGAACCUACUUACCAGUGGAGGAAACCACUGUCAAUACUUUGGCAGAUUUCCUUCUAGUCUUUUCUAUUAUACACUUUUUGAAAUGAAAUUAUAUGUGCUAUUAACAAGUACAAAUGUCACCUUUCUCAAUUUAUAUUAAAUUGUUCUAAAAUUCCAUGUGUUAAAUAAAUAAAGUGGUACAAAUACGGGAAAGGAAGGAAGGAAGGAAGGAACGAAGGAAGGAAGGAAGGAAAGAAGGAUUGGAGGGAGGUGGGAGAGAGGGAGGGAGGGAAGGAAGGAGGAAGGGAGGGAAGGAGGGAGGGAGGGAGGGAGGGAAGGAAGGAGAAAAGGAUCAUAGAUAUUGCUGAACCCAGCAGAAGGGAAAGGUAUGAGAAGAGGAUAUGGUUUCUUUCAAAUUCAUUUUAAAUCUUACCUAAAGCUUGGACAUAUACAUCCAUUUAGAAAGCUCUUGCCCCAUUUUUCAAAGAAGGAACAAGAAAAAACUUACUUUUUUUUUUGGAAAGGGAGGUGUGGCACUUCAAGUCACUGUCUAAAACUCUCUUACAUGUAGUAACAUCUCCAUCUGCAGGACAUGAACGAUAUCACCGUACAACUUAAGGAGGUUGUUCAACUUGGCAAACGUACAACCCCAAUAAACAUGGAGGUUUGAGGAGCCUCUCAGUCCAGAACCAUGUAGCAACAUAACCCAGCAGUACCUUCACCCUGUCCCCUCCCCUGUUAAAUACUCCACUAUCCCUGUAGCUAUAAAGACUUAAAUAUUAAACAUACUACCAGGGAAUAUUGUGUUCUGAACCCCAUUGAAAGCAAGGGGGACUGGAUGUGAUUUAAGCCAUCUUAUGGCAAAAGGGCAAGUUGGUAUAUAACAAGCGUUGGUAGAAAAUGAAGGACUCCCAAGUUCCAGGCCCAGCCCUGCCGCUAGAAUGGUGAGGCCCAGAGAUCCUCCUAAUGAGAUCGUGGGCUUUGCCAGCAUUUAGAUGACGAUGUGGGGUUUACAGCAUGGCAGUGCUCCCCCACGUAGCCUUCAUAGUAAUUAUGUUGAUUUGUUUUUCACAUCCAACUCCCUGUCUCAUCUCCCAGUUUGUCAAUAACAAAGUAAUAAAAGAGGUGUGAUUAAUUAGCAUCUUCAAAGUUUGCAUCUUUCCAGAGAGUGUCUGCUCAAUAAAGAAGGCAUGGCCAGGCAAAGCUCAUUAGGGAAGAGGAGGGGACCUCUCAGACCUCACUGGAAGAAGCUGCUUGGAGUGACCCCAUUUUCCCUUACCCCCUCCUGUGACCCCACAUAUGUGACCACAAACCUGCUUACACAGAGAUGAAGCCCCAUAGCAUUUCCACUUUUGGGUCUUUGACUGCGGCUCUCUCAUCACAUGAAUCACCCACUGACAUUCUCUCUCAUCAUAUGAAUCACCCACUGACAGCCCCAGGAACAGAUGAGGCUGUGAGAUUCUCAAAGAGAAAAAUGAGCUUAGAGCCCCAAACUCCUGGGGUUGGUCCCAUGUAAGCACGACACUAACAUGGUUCUUGGGCCCAAACUGCAGCAAAGUAAACAGAUGUGGGCUUAACAGCCUCCAGGAAUGGAGGAGGCAAGGGGAGAAGGGAUAAGCAGUUGUCAAAGGCAAGGAUGAGAGACAGAAGAGAGACAAGGGACCCUUGCUACCCACUGAUUUAAAGGGCCAGGUCCCAAACCCUAAGCACCCAUCAUGAGUCAUGAUCAUAAUCUCACACUAUCCUUAGAAAUGGACAGUAGCACCUGAACCACCAUUGAUGAAAGCCCAGAAAAGCUGGAUCCUUUAAAUAAUCAGCUCUUUGGGGUAAGGAAUGGAGGUUGCCAUGUAUUUUUAAUGGAUAGAGUAUACAACUGUUGAGUGCCUACUGUGUACUCUUGCUGCCAACACUUGAAAUGAAUAUUUUUAUCUUAUAUCUUAUACCUACAUGAAGGGAGAACUUCACACUAGACGCUCUAUUCACCAAAAUACUCCAUAGAAAUUUUUAGUAAAAGAGAAAAAGUUUAAUUUCCUGCUUACUAGAGAGGUAAGCAAAAUGCCAGUUCGUUUAAUUCUUGGGAUCGAUCAUCUUUCUAACAUACCUAAUUCCUUUUCUCUCAAUAAAUUACUACACUCAGAUAAACUAACAAGUUGUUGAUUUUUGAUGUUCUAUGCUUUCAUUAAUAUAGUGUGUUUAUUUAGUUCCUAGAAGUGCUUGGACACUAUAUAGACAUACACAGCAAGUACAAUGGUCAGUAAAACAUUCCAGCUCUGUCCUUCUGGAGCUCAGAGCCAUGGAAGGUGGCUUCAUGGUGAAGGCCACAGGCUCUGGGACCAGACAGCCAGGGUUCCCAUCUGCUACUUCCUAAGUGGGUGAUCUAGGGCAUGAUGCUUAAUCUCUCUAUGCCAUAUUUUUCUUAAGUGGAAAAUGCACAUAAUAACAGUACUGAGCUCAUGCAGUAUGGUAUGUAUUAACUGUGGUUGUGGUAAAGAGCCUAAAACUGUGCCAGAUACAUGGUGAGCAUUUAAUAAGUGUAAAUGAUUAUCAUCAGGUAGCAAGCUCUGAGGGUCGUUCCAAAUUAAUAACUGUACUGAACAGUGCAGAAUAUCCAGUUUAAAAGGGGAGGAGAUUACCCUGGAGAGUGCACUGACUCAAAAUUCUCCUUGCAUGUUGGGGUAGGCUGAACAAUGCCCCUCCAAAAGAUGGUCAUGUCUUAAUCCUUGGAAUCUGUGAAUGUCACUUUAUAUAUAGACAAAAAAACUUUGCAGAUAUGGUUAAGGAUCAUGAGGAGACUGUCCUGAGUUAGCCAGGUGGAUCUAAUAUAACCACAAGGGCCGUUAUAAGAGGCAAACAGAUCAGAGUCAGAAAUAGAAGAAGGGAUGUGACAGUGGAAGCAGAGGGAGAAAAGGUCAUGUGAUGUGGGGCUAUGAGCCAAGGGAUGUGGGUGGCCUCUAGAAGCUGGAAAAGGCAAGGAAGCCUACAGAUGGAAUUCAGCCCUAUAGAUACCUUGAUUUUAGCCCCUCAAGAUUCAUUUCAAACUUCUGAUCUCCAGAACUAUAAGAGAAGACAUUCAUGUUGUUAUAAGCCACAAAGUUUGCGGCAGCAAAUACAAAUGCAAAGGUGAAUAAGAAAGUAAUCUUAUUUCCUUUUACUAUAUCUCUUUCGAAAGGCAGCAUGAUAGAGUUGAAAGAGCACGGGGCCUGGUGUUUGAAAUCUGUUUCUACAAAUUACUUUGUGUCUUUAGAUAAGUUACUUAACCUCUCUGAGCCUCAUUGCUCCAUCUUGAAAAGGAAGAUAAACAUACUCAUUUCAAGUGAUGGCUGCAAAAGUAGGCCCUCAAUAGUCGUAUCACUCUUACCAUUAAAAAUAUUUGGCUCUCUCCACUCCUUCCCCCAAAGAGCUGACUAUUUAAGAAUCCAGCUUUUCUGAGCUUUGUUUAAUGGUGGUCACAGGCCACUGUCCAUUUAUAAGGAUUUGACUUCUCAUUGUUAUUUGAGUUUGGGACUGAAAGUUUAGAUCUAUAUUAUCAUUUGCCAGAGAUAAUAUUUUAAUUUGUUACUAUGUCCUGCUGAUACCUUAGCUCUACCCAACCUCGCUUCCCACCCCCUACUCAUGAGAAUCAAAGACCCCCUGGAUGACCACCUGUUCUCUGUUUUAAGCCACCUUGUCAUCAGCACACCAGUUCACCAUCUCCUCACUGGUAAAUUAGAGAAAUAUGUUCAGAAUCUUUCUUUCGUUGGCGACAGGGUCUUGCUCUGUUUCCCAGGCUGGAGUGCAGUGGCAUGGCCACAGGUCACUGCAGCCUCAAACUCCCCAGCUUAAGUGAUCCUCCCGUCUCAGCCUCCUGAGUAACUGGGACCACAGGUGUCUGCCACCAAGCCCAGCUAAUUUUUUAAUUUUUUGUAGGGACAGCAUCUCACUACAUUGCCAGGGCUGGUCUCAAACUCCUGGGCUCAAGCGAUCCACCUGCCUCAGCCUCUCAAAGUGCUAAGAUUAUAGGCAUGAGCCACCAUGCCCGGCCAACUUCAGAAUCUUAACCUGCCCUUGGAGAUAUUAUGAUGAUGACCAGUGUGAUGGCUACUGGGCACUGCACUAGAGCCUGUGUAAGAGGAUGGAGUCUUUUUAUCCCUCCCAUUCUUUUCCUGGGAGGGUGUUUCCAGGCUUAAUAUAAUAACAUGCUAGAAUUGAGUAACAGGAGGUAAUCAAUAUUAGAAAAAAAAAAACAUAAAAUUUCUUGUGUAGAUGUUCCACUCUUAGUCAAGGGAAAGUCUUCUCCUACAAUGCCCCUACCCCUUCUCCCUCUUUGCCCCCGACUCUAGCUGCAAAAUGGCCUUACAUGAGCUAAGGCUCUCAUCCUAGCCUAAAUGUCAAGGAAGAACGAGAUGGAACCAGUGGACCCAGAGGAUGAACUCUUAGUGGGGAGUGGGCAGAGGCAGAGAGGUGCGUCAUGGGGCUGCUGGGGGAGAAAGAAUAAAAGAGAUAGCUCAUGGCAGAGGGCCUCAGGGAUGUCCAUACCUGCGUGAGAAGGAGAGCUCCCUCUCACCCUUCCUCUAAACUCUGUCUCCGUGCAUGGUCAUGAAAUAGUAUGGUUUUCAUCCUGGUAAUGAAGUGCACUUUUCCAUCUUUGCAAAGGUUACCGGCAAAGCAAAGACACUGCCAGCAUGCACAUCAUUUCAUUUAAUCCUCACAAGAACCUGUGGAGAGGGUUAUGUCAUUCUCAUAACGUAGUUGAGGAUUGAUAUCCAAGGACCACUGUGUCCAAGAUAACCAGCUAGUCAGAGCCAGGAUCCACACCAGCUCAGCCCAGCUCCAAAGCUCAUGCUCUUUCCAGGCCUGGCCCCACCACUGCUGCUGAACCUUGCAGCCCUUCCCAUACCACCCCGCCCCCACCCAAUAACAUGGCCUCCAGAGCUGAAAGCAUUUCCAGGGCCUCUUCCAACAAGGCCCGAGAAACCCUGGGUGGUCUAGAAACCUUGAAGUGAACAUUGAGUUUUAUCCUGGAACAAAUGAAGAGCUGGAAGUAAAAGGUCCUUCACAAACUGGAAACAGCUGGGCCCAGCUGAGGAGUAAGAUCAAAAUCACCUCUCCAUGCUGCACCAUGCUUCAGGAAGAGGCGUAUCCAUCACAGUGUCUUGGAAGUAGGCCAGGGGUGUCUGCUGAGAAAGGGUGCCGCUGGUCUGCACAAGUGUGGGGAAGGGGGGACUCAAGGAUCCUGGGCAGCUGCUCAGGGGAAGCUAUGUUUAACAGCAAGGACUGCAGAAAUGCCCCUGGAGCUCUGUGGACAGCUGGAAACAAGGCCAAUUUGCAAACAUCCAGGGUCUUACAAUCAUGCCAGAAGGGGAAGCAAACACGUCCUUCUUCCUUCUUCACAUGGCAGCAGCAGGAGAAGUGCCAAGCAUCAGAUCUCAUGAGAAUUCACUCACUAUCACGAGAACAGCAUGAAGGUAACCACCCCCAGGAUUAAAUUCCCUCCGACUGGGUACCUCCCAUGACACAUGGGGAUUAUGGGAACUAUAAUUCAAGAUGAGAUUUGGGUGGGGACACAACCAAACCAUAUCAAGGGCUGAAGAUCAGAGAUGGUUAAUUGGAUGCAGAGAAAUGUGGAGUGAAGGGGAGGAGUAGAAGAGAGGGGGCAUAGAAUUUGUCUUCAAAUAUAGGAAGGGCUAUUUUGCCAUCUUCAUCUUUGUGUCCCCAGGUCCUGGUAGGAUGCUUGGCACUAAGGUCAUGCUUAAUAAAUUUUAUUGGUUCUACUUGGUUGAAAAGUCAAUCAGGUAAUCAAUCAAUCAAUAUAUUCAUAUGGAUGAACAGUGACCUGAUAUUGGAAAUUAUAGGGAAAUAAUAGUAAUUAACAUGAAGAAAUUUUAAAAAUAAAUUUAAAGAUAGGAAGGGAAUUCCCUUGCCCUUGGAAUGAUGACUCUUAGUGUCUGUUUAGGAAGGUGAUGCUGCUGGAGGAGGGGCUCAGGUGUAGAGGAAUUGAAACUGGUUGAUGUGGAUGCAUUCCAGAUUUUCUAUUUCUCAGACCAAUACAAAUUUUCUCCACCAAAAAAAGUCAGAGGAAUUACAGAGGGUUGCCAACUUUUUGCCAACAAUGGAUAUUACCACUAAUUCAAUUAUCAUCCACUAUUGCAGUCAUUCUGCAAAAACAAAAAUCAAAAAAAGCACAUUUUAACAGAAGGGAAGAAAAGGAAAAACAUGAUCUCAGAAGAAAGGAAAUGCUUUAAAGUCAUAACCUUGGCUUUCCAAACAUCACUCUCUUUUCCUCACUUUUCUGUAAAGCAGUGAAAAUAUCGCCGAGCAGCACCAGUUUGAGGGUCUGUAUUUGAGAACUACUGAAUUCAAUGACUUUAAAGUCCUUUCCUGGCCCAGAUACUUGCCAUUUCCAGUCCAAAAAUGGAGCCAGGCACUUAGCAGGCAUUCAGUGUAUAUCUGUGGAAGGAAUGAUGGAAUCACUUGCAGGCAUUUGAUUUUAGGCAACAUUCCUCAUCCUCAAGAUGGAAACCCCAUGCUACAAGCACAGAAGCAACUCCCCAAAAAGUUCAUGGAGGAAAAAUAUCAGUUAAAACUCAUGAGGACAGAAGAGAGGCUACAUUGCUCUGCUCCAGCUGACCUUUGGAAAGCCAUAUUCUCUCUACCUCCUGUAUUUCCCCCACCAUUAAUGAACAUCCUACUAUUUCCAUAGUAUUCAGCUGUCAAUAGGGCACUUGUGUGCAUUACACCAUUUGUUCAU